GAGUUUGCUGGCACAGAACCGAGUUUGGAAGAUUACUUUGAAGGUCUGAAUUUACAUGGGGAGGAAGAGGAAGAUCUGGACCUAUCAGCGGAGGUAGAUGAUUUGAUCAAGGAUGUCAGAUGGCUAGGAUUGUUUCGAGUUCAUACUCCGAAGCCUUUCGGUCAUGCCGCGUUGCUUAACCAGAUGAGAAAUGCUUGGUCGUCAGCACAAGGGGUUACAUUUAAUAUCAAGGGGCCGAAUCUUUUCUUGGUUCAAUGCCAUUGUCUGGGAGAUUGGAAACGUGUAAUGGAGGGUGGGCCUUGGGUAUUCAAGGGAGCUCCAAUUGUUAUACAAGAAUAUGAUGGGUUCACUAAUGUCACAGACUAUGCACUCAACAUGAUUCCGGUAUGGGCUAGGUAA
rnacentral:rRNA from 1 species